rnacentral:rRNA from 1 species
CCCUUAGAUGUUCUGGGCUGCACACGUGCUACACUGGCAGGUUCAGCGAGCUUCAUGCCCUGAUCUGAAAGGAAUGGGAAAUCUUUUCAAAACCUGCCGUGCUUGGGAUAGAUGUUUGCAAUUAUUCAUCUUCAACGAGGAUUGCCUUGUAAGCGCAUGUCAUCAGCAUGCAUUGAAUACGACCCUGUAUUCUGUACACACCGCCCGUCGCUCCUACCGAUUGGGUGUGCUGGUGAAAUGUUCGGAUCGGCCGUUUGUCGCGGUUUCCGCGUCAUGUGGCUGAGAAGUUCAUUAAACCCUCCCACCUAGAGGAAGGAGAAGUCGUAACA